rnacentral:tRNA from 1 species
UGGGACAUAGCUCAGUUGGUUAGAGUGCUACCUUGACAUGGUAGAGGUCGGCGGUUCAAAUCCGCCUGUCCCAA